CUAAAUUUUAAAAAUACAUAUAUUUUGCCUUUGAUUUUUAAAAUAUGAAUGUAUAACAAGUGUUUUAAAAUUCAUAUGUUAAAACAACAGGCAGCAGAUUUUAAGCUUGUUUUUAUUUUGAUGGAAAUUAUAAACUUUGAAGCCACAUGGAUUUUGAAUGCUAUAUAAAAGAUGAAAGAUCGAAUGUUUUAUAUUCGAGGUACGAUUUUAUAAUGCAUAUUAUAUAAAAAUUGAUAUAUUUAUAUUAUUCUCAUAUAUUUAUCAGUUUAUAUAUCCUAAAUUCCAGCCGAUUCGUGGCUCUCUGUUUGUAUAAUUAGUUUUCUUUGUCUAAUUAUUCCUCCAUCUUUCGCUUUUGGAUAUAGACCCUCCUUCAUGCCUGAUAAUUUUUUUGUUAUCUGCAUCCAGCAUCCUCCUUCACUAAAAUCAAAAUCUUCUGUUCCAGCUUGCUCAGAAAAUAUUCAGUCUUUCAUAACUGGAGUUCUCUUUGACAUGUAAAAUCGUCAAGCUGUACCCUCAGUAAAAUACUUAUUUAACUGGCUGACUAUUACAGUAGUCAAAAGUUAAUAAAUGAAUACAUGCAAGAAUUACAAAUUAACUGCCCUCAUUCCAACCAUUGGUCUCUGACUCAUCCAACAAAAACUUAACAGAAUAGUACGAUGAUAACAGAAAAGUGUGGAAAUGCUAACCUUACCCGGUACCUGACUUUCUGUAUGUGACAAGAAAAUUAGAUUACAUUAAUUUUACAGUCCGGUAUUCUUUUCUUUAUCGCCUCAAUACAUACUCUGGUUUAUGAUUUUGAUGUUUAAUUUUAAAAAAUUCCAAUUGCCAACAUGCAUUCUACUGGAGAAAAUGUUCCCCCACCUCUUGCCAUAAAAUCUCCAUAGCCCCCAAUUUUAGUAUUUUGCCCAUCCAAAGGAGAGUCUAAUUCUCGCACACCAAUGGAAUAAUCAAAUAUGGCAUACUUUGUUAUUUUUCUCUGUCCAACACCAGACAAUUUUACUUGUCAAGGGCACUAUUAGAUCAGUGGACCAGUGGUCAAGGGUAAGGUUAAGUGAAUAAUAAAAAGUGGCUGGAUAUUCUAUACUUGCUCCAUAUAAUUGGACUUUGGUUGUGAGCAAAAUGUAAAAAGACAAUUACCAGUACUACAUCCCUAUUAUUUACCUUAGUUGCGAUCUUGAGCAGUUGCUGUUACUAAUACAGCAGAAUGUGGUUUCAAAUGCCAGUCAUUUUAUUGCAAUGAUAGAUAUUCCAUUAAGACAUUUGUUGUUUGUCUCUGUUUUAGAAUAAGAUCAAAAAGGUGGUUGCAGGUAUUCAGAUCCUGGAGUGCUGUGAAAUUGCCUUAACCUUGGGCAAUUAAGUAAUAUGAGUGGUGUGAUAGGAAAUUUUUGAUUCAUUGUGAUUGACUAUAAAUAAAAUUAGAAUGGUGAGAAUAAUGAUGAUGAUGCUAGUGAAAUACAAGUUGUGAUGAUACUGGUGAUGCACAAGAUAAUGAAAAUAUAUUGUACAUACCAAUUGUAAUGAGACAUAAAUAAUAAAUAGAUUGGCAG